AUGGGAAAGGGGCAAAGGACUCCUCCGUGCCCUCCAGGGCCUGUCCCUGGGCAGCCAGGGCUCUUACCCAGGGCUGAAGCAGCAGCGCCUGGGGCCUCUGCAGCAGGAAGGGGGCAGCUGCAGAGCGGGGUCGUCACCAGAGGGGCUGGGAGUGGAGCCCCCAGCCCAGGAGCCUCUGCACACCCUCCGCUCGUGCCCGGGCACAGACCUGGCACACGCGGCCACCUCUCCGCUACGUUAGUACUACCAGCGCUCCCUUUCACGGGGCAGACGCGGGUGCUCCUGCACGUGCCUCAGCACCCAGUGCUGGGUUUGACACACCUCCCCCUUGGGUGCAGAACAGAUCCAGGGACCACCCACCCUCCCCCACAGGCAAGGGAAGUCCAACCCCAGCACGGUGCAGGUGGGUUAUUCCCCAGAUAUGUUUCCUGCCAGCAGUGGAGGAGCUGCCCCGGCUCACAGUCUCUAGAAAGCUGUAGGAGUCACAGCGGGAGCAACCCGGGUAACAGAGGGCCGCUCCGGCACGUCAGGGCGCUUUGCCAUCCUGUCAAAGGAGAGAGAGAAGGCACAGUGAAGUCGGCUCCCAGGAGACGGCAGCCCAGGAACCACGCACGCAAGGCUGGGUGCCUGCAGCGAGCAGGAGAGAAGCAACCCCGAGCACGUCCCCAGCCGUGCUCUGCCCGCACAGAGCCAUGUCGGCAGAGGCACCCGCAGCAGAGAAGCCCAGGGGAGGCCAGACCCUGCUCAGGGCUGCUCCCCACCCUCCUUCCAGACCCACAGGAAACACCAGCAUCAGGCAGAGGAGGGGCACUUGGCACCAGACAAACACAAGGGAACGUACAUGUCCAGAAACAGCCUCCAGUUCCUCCCGCAGCCCUUUCCCCAGCUGGCCCGUGGCACCCCCCCACUGCCCCAGCCAGAGGCAGCGCAGCCCCAGCAUGGGUGCCCCACACUCAGCUCUGCUCCCUGCAGGAGGACUCUGUGCUCGGGGCCUGCUCCUGCCCCAGGCUCUGGCAGGAAGCAGCAGGGCAGCCAGCAGGACAGGCCAACCCGGGGUGA
ensembl:lncRNA